ensembl:lncRNA
UGAGGCGUGCCAUAGCAUUUCUCUGUCCAGGUGCUGUGCAAUCCCACUGGCUGCAAGCCGUAGCUCUAGGAGAGCUGACCUGGCAUCAGCAACCUUGAGUAGACAUGACUUCCUGAUGGCCACAAGCCACUUCAUUUCUCUUUUCUGAUCAACCACAUCACUGUAGAGGAUAUUUAGAUUUGUAACCACAGAGCCAGCCUCUGAUGGCUCUGUUGCUGUUGGGGAGAUACCUGAAGCACGUAUCGCUCUGCUUAAUUUCACUACACACAGAUUUAGCCCCAGUGGAUUUGCGUCACAGGAGAGACAGACACUAGCAACCAGCAUCUCUCUCUAUAGGUCAUGCAUGCACUCCUAAUCCUCCAUCAGCCUUCAGGGAAGAAGCUGCUGCUCCCUCUCUGAGCUCACACUUUUCUUUAUUACAUCAGGAGUUUCCCUAAUGUUCACUGUGGAGAGGCAGUGGCAUUUCCUACCUUCUUGCUCAUUGAUACCUCCUGAAAAGAUCUAGCUGUGACUUCUCCCACACACAGAUUUUAGAGGAGUUAGUAAAAUAAAAAGUUCAUGCAGAUGGGGAAACAGCCAGAAUUCAGCUGGCUUCAUCUUCACCACAAAAUAGACAUGGAGCAAAACUGAGACAGGUCUCAGCCUUAUGGCCAACCAUGGGAGAGAAGAGAGUGCUGCCUCACCCAGCUGGGGAGAGACAUCUCUCAGUGAUCUGCAUCAGCAAUACCACUAUUUCAGAAGCUCUGUGCAGAAUGAAACGACCUCUGCCAGCUGCAACAGAGGACAUUUUAAACUACAAAGGAAGAAGUGAGCUAACCCAAACCAAGAAAGGAGAGAAGGAAGUCCUAAACAGAAGAAGAGAAGGGACUGACACCACCACUACAAGAUAAGUCCUACCACUCCAUCUGACCCAUCACAGAGUGGAUCAGAAGAAGAACCCUUUCUGAACCUUAAUAAUUGGCACAGCACAGAAUUCCACCAAAAUUAUGAGACAGCUCCUUACCCUGCAUGAGUCAGCAGGAACGUACAGCUUUUUGUGGGGAGGAGGAACUGCUCCCACAAAUAUGCAAUAAAACGUACCUGUAUACUUUUGGUAGGCA